UACGUAGGGUGCGAGCGUUGUCCGGAAUUAUUGGGCGUAAAGAGCUUGUAGGCGGUUUGUCGCGUCUGCUGUGAAAUCUCAAGGCUCAACCUUGAGCUUGCAGUGGGUACGGGCAGACUAGAGUGUGGUAGGGGAGACUGGAAUUCCUGGUGUAGCGGUGAAAUGCGUAGAUAUCUGGAGGAACACCGGUGGCGAAGGCGGCAUCCUGGACCGGUAUUGACGCUGACGGAGCGAAAGCCAGGGG
rnacentral:rRNA from 1 species